UUUUAGAUUGAUUCUGUCUAUUAUUAAUUAAUUGUUUGAUAGUAUUAUAUAUAAAUUUUUGUGCGGUUAUAAUUUAUCUAAAUGGUAUUAUUUGUUUAUUUGUAGUUUUUAAUAUUAGGUAUUUUUGAAAAAUUAACCUAGUUAAUCUUAAUAGAAUUGUAAAAUGUUGUGCCAGCAUACGCGGUUACACAAUUAAUUCAAGUUAAUUUUUUCGGUUAUUUAUUAAUUUUAUUUUGUUAAAAUUUAUAUUUUUGUUAUUUAGGUGAAAUUUUAAUUUUUAUUAUAUAUUUUUGGUUGUAAGAUUAUAAGAAAUUUAGAUUUUAAACUAGGAUUAGAUACCCUAUUAUUCUAAAUGUAAAUUGUGAGCCUUUAUAUUAAUAGUUAUGGUCUUUAAAUUAAAAGGAUUUGGCGGUAAUUUAGUCUUUUCAGAGGAACCUGUUCUGUAAUUGAUAAUCCACGAUGGAUUUUACUUUAUUUUUGUUUGUAUAUCUCUGUCAUUGAAUGUUUUAUUAGAAUAUUUUCUGUUAUUAUCUAUUUAAUGAAUGUCAGGUCAAGGUGCAACUAUAUUAAAGUUUGAAAUGGGUUACAUUUAAUUUUAUUUAUUGGAUUUUUAUUUGGAAUUUAAUUUAAAUGAAAUAGGAUUUGAAAGUAAUUUUUAUUAUUUUAUAAUAAUGAUUUUAGCUCUAAAUUAUGUACACAUCGCCCGUCACUCUCAUUUUUAAGAUGAGAUAAGUCGUAACAAAGUAAUUUUACUGGAAAGUGAAGUUGGAAUUAU
rnacentral:ncRNA from 1 species